rnacentral:rRNA from 1 species
AUUGAACGCUGGCGGCAGGCCUAACACAUGCAAGUCGAACGAGUGGCGGACGGGUGAGUAAUGUCUGGGAAACUGCCUGAUGGAGGGGGAUAACUACUGGAAACGGUAGCUAAUACAGCAUACCAUCAGAUGUGCCCAGAUGGGAGUAGCUUUGUGGUGGGGUAACGGCUCACCAAGGCGACGAUCCCUAGCUGGUCUGAGAGGAUGACCAGCCACACUGGUACUGCGACAUGGGCCAUGCUCCUACGGGAGGCAGCAGUGGGGAAUAUUGCACAAUGGGCGCAAGCCUGAUGCAGCCAUGCCGCGUGUAUGAAGAAGGCCUUCGGUUUUUAAAGUACUUUCAGCGGGGAUGCGUUACCCGCAGAAGAAGCACCGGCUAACUCCGUGCCAGCAGCCGCGGUAAUUC